UACGUAGGCAGCAAGCGUUGUUCGGAGUUACUGGGCGUAAAGGGUGCGUAGGCGGACUUAUAAGUCAGUGGUGAAAUCUCGAUGCUUAACAUCGAACGUGCCAUUGAUACUGUAGGUCUUGAGUACAGAUGCCGUUGGCGGAAUGUGUCAUGUAGCGGUGAAAUGCAUAGAUAUGACACAGAACACCGAUUGCGAAGGCAGCUGACGAAACUGUAACUGACGCUGAGGCACGAAAGCGUGGGGAUCAAACAGG
rnacentral:rRNA from 1 species